rnacentral:rRNA from 1 species
AGAGUUUGAUCAUGGCUCAGAUUGAACGCUGGCGGCAGGCCUAACACAUGCAAGUCGAGCGGUAGAGAGAAGCUUGCUUCUCUUGAGAGCGGCGGACGGGUGAGUAAUGCCUAGGAAUCUGCCUGGUAGUGGGGGAUAACGUUCGGAAACGGACGCUAGUACCGCAUACGUCCUACGGGAGAAAGCAGGGGACCUUCGGGCCUUGCGCUAUCAGAUGAGCCUAGGUCGGAUUAGCUAGUUGGUGAGGUAAUGGCUCACCAAGGCGACGAUCCGUAACUGGUCUGAGAGGAUGAUCAGUCACACUGGAACUGAGACACGGUCCAGACUCCUACGGGAGGCAGC